CCUACGGGAGGCAGCAGUGGGGAAUUUUGGACAAUGGACGAAAGUCUGAUCCAGCAAUGCCGCGUGCAGGACGAAGGCCUUCGGGUUGUAAACUGCUUUUGUACGGAACGAAAAGGUCUGCCUUAAUACGGUGGGCUCAUGACGGUACCGUAAGAAUAAGCACCGGCUAACUACGUGCCAGCAGCCGCGGUAAUACGUAGGGUGCAAGCGUUAAUCGGAAUUACUGGGCGUAAAGCGUGCGCAGGCGGUUAUAUAAGACAGAUGUGAAAUCCCCGGGCUCAACCUGGGACCUGCAUUUGUGACUGUAUAGCUAGAGUACGGUAGAGGGGGAUGGAAUUCCGCGUGUAGCAGUGAAAUGCGUAGAUAUGCGGAGGAACACCGAUGGCGAAGGCAAUCCCCUGGACCUGUACUGACGCUCAUGCACGAAAGCGUGGGGAGCAAACAGGAUUAGAUACCCUGGUAGUCCACGCCCUAAACGAUGUCACUGGUUGUUGGUCUUCGCUGACUCAGUAACGAGCUAACGCGUGAGUUCGACCGCCGUGGGGAGUACGGCCGCGAAGGUUGAACCUCGAAAGAGAGUAGAGCGUGAGACGNGCGACGGACGACGACGAGGGAGGAGG
rnacentral:rRNA from 1 species